AUGUAUUUUACCUUUCUGGAGAGGUUUCUGCUGAGAUGAACUUGAAACGAGCUACAAAUCCAAAGCUUUAUCUAAGCUGGAAAUUAGCCCGAUUCCAGUCAUUGGUGGUCAGUGACUGGCGUAACUUCACGUGUGAAGCUAAACAGAGGAUGACUGCUGGAGGGAGCUCCUGGGAAGUCUGGAACAAACUGAAGAGUUUUAAGUAUUUGUUUGAGGAUACUCUGAAAAACAUUUGCCGCUGGCCUGAUCCUUUUCCUGUGAUGAGUAAGUGGGAGUCUUCCUCCUGCACUUAACAUGUGCUGAGCUAGGCCAAAAGCUGGUGUAUUUGAAAAUCCCAUGGUGGGGAGUUUCCAGCAGGCACUGGCAGCUGCCCUCCUGAAUCAGGGCCCAAUUUCCAAAAGGAGCAAGGCCAAGCUCAGCAACGAAGUUCAAAGCCAAGCCGUGAAUAAACUGACUUCCUGUUAUUGUAAGUACAUUGGAAAAGGACAGCAGUUCAGGAGGAAAAAUGAGUGAAACAGUGAUGGCUUCCACUAAAACGAAGUCCUGGGUUGUUGUAGUGCAUGGAGAUGUCCACGGGAGAGUCAUCUGGAGGCGACAGGUGAAGUUCAGAAAGAACAUUGCGACAAGUCCCCAAAAUGAAUCAGAGUGGGAAUUUGGAUAGAGUGGAAUGGCCAGCCAAGGAAAGGGAAAAUAGUUCUCUAAAAGUUUGUUCCUGAGCUAAAGUUUGUUCCUGAGCUAAGCCAAACUUUUAGGUCAUCUUGAAGUUUGAUUCUUCAGCUCCAUUGGAUGCAUGUGGGUUUUCCGCGAUGGGUAUGUGGUAAGACACAGUGGAUGUGGUUCAAGUUGUCAUGAGAAAGUGGCUACAGGUCAGGGAAAAAAAAAUCUUACCAGUUGAAUUUAGAGCCUUCUAGUUUGGAUGGACUGAGCAAGAGCUUUGUUACAGUUCCCACUCUACUCUGUGCUCUAAAAGCAUCAGAAAACAUGGUGAGGGGGAGAUGUGGCAUGUGCAAAUUCAGGGCAAAUCCACCUGAAUCUUGGGAAUAAUGAAAGUGCGGAGGAUAAAAUUUGUCAGCCUUUUAAAAACAAAGUAGAGGAGGAAACAUACAUGACCAUCAGAAAGGAAAGCAUCUCUGAUGUUUGUCAGGGAGUUUGGGGUGGAGGGAGAGGAAUUUAUUUGUGAGUUAUUUAAAUUACUGUCAGCUCCUCUCCGGUACAACAUAUAUUCUGUGUCUCCAGGAGCUGGAAGCUGGGUUUUUGUGCUGACCUCUCAGCUCUCCAAAAAAUCACAUUUAAAGUGUCUGCUUGCAUUAUGCUCCCUGAGGAGCUGCUGUAAAUGGUCAUUCUUCCUUCCAUUAGUUUUAUUACUGGGAACAAGCCUGUUUUGCCUCUCUGCUGCUGCUUUAAUCAAAGCUUUGAUACCAGAUAGCCUUCAGAAAAGACAUCUGCAAUUCAGUUAGAUAAAUGCUUAAAGUCAUGAUCUCUGUGAAACUGGUCACUGCAGGAACACUGUGCCCUCCGCACCAUGGGUUUGCCCUGGCUGUGGCAACCCAUUCCUCAUGGGAAGCUGUUAAAGCUUCUUUUUUCCUAUUUGUUAGACAGGAGAAGAUAAGCCAGAAGUUCAACGCCAUUCAGGAGCCACAAAAUCAGCUCUAUUACAUCUGGAAGUUGGUUCCUGCUGAGUUGCAUCUUUCUACCUUGGGAGGCAGCAUGGAAAAACUUGAAGCUGCUUUAGUGGGGCUGGCCCAGCUUCCUGCUCCCCUCCUCCUGCCUUGCCUGCCUCUAGGGCCACCUUUCUUGCUGUUGGUGACUUGCUUUCAGUGACAGAGGUACAGACCCGCUGACCUUCUGGGGAGACUGCCGAGCAUCGGUGAGAAACAGCUCUUCAGAAGCAUUUCCCUGACUCUCGAUGUGAGCUGGUGCCCUAGAGGCAAAGGUGCCCUCUAAGUGCUGUCAGGCUAGUCUCAAAGCAUACCACAAGGUUGUUUAAAAAUGUUCCUAAAGGAUGUUAAAGAGUUCUCUAAUGUUCUUGUCUAAAGCAUUUCCAACAGCUGAUUGUAAAAGCUCACAAAACCACAAGUGAAAGCAGUCAGAAGGGAGGCUUGAUGUGUGUGGGGUUCUCAUGUUUUUUUUUUUCUUUCUUUAAAAGCUGUCAAAAACCCCAAACCAGAAGACAACAAAAGUGAAGGUGAGAGCUACGAGUGAAUGCAGCUUGCAGUUUGCUGCAAAUUUUCCUGCUUUCAGGGAGCAAUGGCCUUUGAUUGUCAGGGAAGCAGCUUUAAUACUUGGUUGGGGAAAAGUGAAUGGGGAUCAGGACAAUGCAGCUGACUAUGAAAGUCUCAAAAAAUUGUGGUUGAUUUUAAACCUGGAAAGACCUUUUGACAGUGGUCAACUCCUGUGUGCUUCCCUACUGUGUUCUGUGCAGUCUGUUUGCUCUUUCCCUGGUGAAUGUGCCCGAUUCAGAGCUUUUCUCAUCGUUGCAAGCUCUCCCAGCAACAGAAGCAGGCCACUGUGGGCUGUAAGAGUCAGCUGGGAGAGCUUGAGGAUGGAUCAGGGUUGCUGUGCUUGUGCAUACCCUUGGUUUGCACUGCUGUUGCACGUGCCACCUUGAUCAGAGGCAGCAUAGAGGAGAUUACCCACACUAGUUGUAUGCCAGGAGCCAGAUAGAGCUGCUUUGAAUUUGGGGAUAUAUUUGAAAUUUCCUUCAAGUGGGAUCACAGCCCUAGUUGUCUUGGCUACAAUAGAAACGUCUCUGCCUAGGACUUCCCACAAAAUGCGGCUCAAGAAUAAGACAAGGAGCUUGCUAUAAUUAGAGCAUGCUGGAGACUGAACAAAAGUAUUUAGCAAUGCCCUACAGCCAUGGCUAAAUGGCUUCAUCACUGAAAAUUGUCAUUCACAAGGGCUUCAACCCAGCUGUGGCAAUAAAAGUGCUUCAUGUCUACCAGGGUGAGGUGGAAAUAGGAUUGAAAUGCAGGCACACAUAAGUGGCACAGGAAGAAGUCCCCUAUUUUUUCUCCCCAUUUCCACAGGCUUCAACUUUGCAUCCAGUUAAGAACAGUGGUGCAUCAACUUCAGUGAUGUUCUUAAUGAACAUCAGCUACUCAUUUACUUGAUGGGUGUGUGUAGAGGAUCUGAGCCAGGACAGCCUGUUUACUCAGAAGGCAGUUACUCCUGUUUGCUUCUGAAGUGCCAUAAAUGCACUCGUGCUUUCCAAGGCAUGGCAGUAGCUGUGUUGCCAGGGCAUGUGGAGAAAACCAAAGUGGCUCCAACCUAUGAUAAGAUAAAGUUAGAGCUGCGGGAUGCUCUGGUAAAUUUAGGAUGCAGGAAGGCUGUGUGUGAGACCAUUUUCUGAUGUGUCCUGUUGGAUACCAGUACAGUGUUGGAAAAGUCAUAGCUGAACAGUGUAUUUACUCCAGCCCCGGACUGCUUCAGUGCUUUGGUGCCCUGAGCUCUUGGUGUUGAUAUUGCAUGGGGCAGUGGAAUAUGCCAGCUAACCUCCAUUGUCCUUGGGGAUGUUCCCCAGGAUGAGGGGGUGAAGUGCCUGGGCUGGUGUUGGGUAUCUCUGCUCUCCUGGUUCUCAUGGAUGUAACAGUGGAACAGUGGGAGACGUUUGCCCCAUUUUUGCACUCUCUUUUUCUCUCCUGGAAUUUCUAUUUUAUAAUGCUACUAAUUAUUAUUAAUAAAUGAAAUGGAAUCUUAUAGGCGAAGGGAGAUCUAGUGUUGGGCCCGUACUUGUCUCAAAUGGUUGUCAGGGAUGGAGAUCUUGAGAUAAUCACGGGCAUGUUUCCCAGUCCAUGCAUCUAUGCAAAGCCUUUCCAUUGCCAGCUGCCUGGAAAGCCCCGUGAAAUUGGAGACUGCUUCUGUGAAGCCUGGGGAAAGUGACCUUAUCCAGCUUUUUUGCUGGUGUUUGUGCCGCUCUUUUGCAUCCUCCAGCAUGAGGAGCUACACCAGGCCUUGAAGGUGGAGGUGAGUACUAGCAGAGCACUGAAUUGGGAGCAUGGAGUCAGCAGACAUGGAGAUGCCUCCUGCGCUGCAGGCGCUCAGGGCAAGGAGAGAAGCAUGGGAUUAGCCAGGAGCAAAAAACUCCAGCUGGGCUGACGUGCUUUUAUUUCAUCUCAAUGUGGCUCCUCAUAAUCUGCCCUCAGGUAAAAAUCAAGCCAUGCCACAGCUCUGUUUGCAUUUCACCAUGUUAGCUGCUUUAGCAUACAAAUGCAUCUUUCUUUUUUUAAAAAAAAGUUAUUUUGGGCUGUGAAAAUACACGUAACAGUUGCCAAUCAACUUAAGGAAGAAAAAGCUCUCAUGUCUGCAAUCUCUUGUUUACAGCAGAGUUCUCUGCACGACUGGGAGGGCUGGAUGCUUUUCCUUUUCUCAAGCAAACUUAAGACAGGUAUUUGAAUUAAUCAGGAAGAAUGAGUGAUACUUGCACACAUCAAACCCAAGAACCCCAAAAUAAACAAAAAAUACUUCAGAAAGCAAGGGAAAUUUUGCACAUUGCAAUUUUUUGUGGCUUUGGUCGUGAAAACUCCAUGCAUCUUACCCCCAUCCAGUACAGGAUGGAAAAAAAGGGUCCUGCCCCUAUAAUCUAGCAGCACCUCUAACAUGCAUUCCUUGGCAGCCAGGGACACCGCUGGAAAACAUACAUCUUCAUGAAGUGCCUGGCAUAAAAAUACUAAAUCAUGAUACUGGAACACCAUCUGCUGAAUUGUCCCUUAACAGCUGUUGCCAAGGUGCUACAAAAAAAAUACCACAAUGUUCUUAAAGAUUGGGGUUUUUGAUAAAGAACACGUACACUGCUGGAGUCACGUUACCUCUCAGUGUGAACACUGUCAUGUUUUCGCGGUGGCUGUUACUGCGAACCUAUGCAGGAUAAAUACUGUGAUGCUGAUGUUGCAACACUUAAACUGUUGCUUUCUGCUCAGUAUGCAUUAAGCAAUUUAGUACUUUGUUCAUCUAUAAUGUCCUUGCCCGUGUCAUCAGUGAGGACUGACAGACCAUGCAGCCCAGCAUCCCUGACUGACUGUGGCCAGCAGCAGAUGCAUGAGGGAUGACACAGAGCUGCUUUUCCCAGAGUAUCUUCUCACUUUCCAGCAGCCAACAAUUUAGGGACUUCCCAAAGUGGAGGCUGCAUCUGGCUGCCCACAUUUAACAGUUGCCAUCAGACCCAUCCUCCAGGUGUGUGGUUAAUUUCAUCUCCAUCCUUGCCUUUCACAGCAUCCUGUGACAAAUUCCACAGUUUGGUGCUACCUGGUACGGAGGAGCACUUGGUCGGCCAUCCAACAUCUAUUUUUGUGCUCUUAGCUCCUAGUACAAGGAGCAAUAGCAGAUCGGUGUUCUCUGGUUGUCCAUGUCUAGUCUACAUCUCUUUAGUUUCUCCUGGUGUCUGCUGCAGAUCUCAUCUCCUCAUGUUCAAUGCUGUCUCCCAACCAUUUGAUUGCUUAAAUGGAGUAAUCCCCAAUUCCUGAAACAGAGAGGACUUUGAAUGUUGGUAUCCCUUAUUAACUUUAUUUGCUGUCAUGGGAUAAUCAUUAGACAAAACAUUGUUAAAUGGAUCACUUUCAUUUUUGUGCAAAGUUUUACUUUCUCUUUCCUUGAUGAAAAUCUAAUCGCAGCAGGGCUGAGGUGCAAGCUCGGCUAAGGGAAAGUUUAGAUGAAAGUGUGUCCCCGCUUUUGAGAUGUUGCAUAUCGACCUCACAGACAUCCCUUUCCUUUUUCUUUUUAAAAGGAGGGAAAAGAAAAACAACCUCUAUUUUUGGUCUAAACUUGCACAAAACAUUGUUUCUAGAUAUACUCAGCUGUGAAGUUUGCUAAUGAGACUACUGACAACAUCAGUACAGAUGUAUGUAUCAGCUAUGAUCUGUAUUAGAAAGAUAUCCAGGAUGCACCUUUGGUGUAAUGUUUUUAUUAAAGUCUAAGCUCUUGAAAUCAUGUUUCUCCCACGAGACACUCACCUUCUAUUAAGGAUGAGACACCUUUUAGCUUUCAAUUUCUAAGGAAAAGAGCCAAAAAUACCAACCAGGUGCAAUACACAGAGUCAGAAACCAGAAAAGAAAUUUAAAAAAUACAUAUAUAUAUAUAUGUAUAUAUAUAAUAUAUAUAUAUAAAAAAAAAAAUACUGUGGCCUGACUUAUGAAGCUUUGCAGUACUGUGACGGCUCUGAAAGUGUGUUGGAAUGAAGUUCCUAUACCUUGUUCUUGGGCUGUGUGACAGCAGCAGCAGAUACCUUCGGUGUUGGAGUGCCCUGAUGUGGCAAUGAAUUAAAUAAGGGUUUGGGGUUAAACGCAAAUACAGGACCAAUCUUCCUGGUUGACAAAGUGAUGCUGAAUGUUUUUUAUUGAUGUGUGACGGUUUUCUGAUAUUUAAAAAUGUGUGGGAUCUGCAAUCUUAAACAAGUUUUAUCAGUUUCUCUAUUUAAGAGCAUUUUUGCACCCACAAUAUUUUG